AUGGCUUCUUCAAGCUCCUGCGCCACCUCGCGGAUGCAGAGCCCGGCGCGCGUGGAGAUGCCUAUCUUCGUCUGUUCGUGGUGCCGGGCGGGCGUUGAUCGAAGGGUUUCUCACACACCGAAGAACCAGAAUCGCCCGUCCUACAUGUGCAGCGAGAAUGGGGUGAAAUGUUUCUUCAUUUGGGUCGAUGCUCUGGCCAAGACUCUGAUGAAUGAACUUCAAGAAGAGCAUAAAUAAUGGUUGCCCAUGCUGCCACGAACGACAAUGGCCGAAGCACGAGCUCCGGAAGAAGAGACGGAGGGCGAAGCAACUAACAGAGAGCUAGCUGUUGAGCUUAGGAUGUUGAAGAAGAAGGUUAGGAAGCUUGAAGAUCAAGCACAAAUACCCAUUUGCAAUUACUUUCGGGCAUUUGUAGGUAUGGUAAUCGCACUGGGUGUAAUGUUGAAAUUGUAUGGAAAGGCAUGA
rnacentral:rRNA from 1 species